GCCGGGCGUGGUGGUGCAUGCCUGUAAUCCCAGCUACUCAGGAGGCUGAGGCAGAAGAAUCGCUUGAACUCAGGAGACGGAGGUUGCAGUGAGCCGAGAUCACACCACUGCACUCCAGCCUGGGUGACACAGCAAGACUCUGUCUCAA
rfam:Pan troglodytes isolate Yerkes chimp pedigree #C0471 (Clint) chromosome 3, whole genome shotgun sequence.